rnacentral:rRNA from 1 species
UAGGGAAGCUUCGGCAAUGGACGAAAGUCUGACCGAGCAACGCCGCGUGAGUGAAGAAGGUUUUCGGAUCGUAAAACUCUGUUGUUAGAGAAGAACAAGGACGUUAGUAACUGAACGUCCCCUGACGGUAUCUAACCAGAAAGCCACGGCUAACUACGUGCCAGCAGCCGCGGUAAUACGUAGGUGGCAAGCGUUGUCCGGAUUUAUUGGGCGUAAAGCGAGCGCAGGCGGUUUCUUAAGUCUGAUGUGAAAGCCCCCGGCUCAACCGGGGAGGGUCAUUGGAAACUUGGGGACUUGAGUGCAGAAGAGGAGAGUGGAAUUCCAUGUGUAGCGGUGAAAUGCGUAGAUAUAUGGGGGAACACCAGUGGCGAAGUCGGCUCUCUGGUCUGUAACUGACGCUGAGGCUCGAAAGCGUGGGGAGCAAACAGG